CCUACGGGGGGCAGCAGUGGGGAAUAUUGCACAAUGGGGGAAACCCUGAUGCAGCGACGCCGCGUGAGUGAAGAAGUAUUUCGGUAUGUAAAGCUCUAUCAGCAGGGAAGAAAAUGACGGUACCUGACUAAGAAGCCCCGGCUAACUACGGGCCAGCAGCCGCGGUAAUACGUAGGGGGCAAGCGUGAUCCGGAUUUACUGGGUGUAAAGGGAGCGUAGACGGUUCAGCAAGUCAGAUGUGAAAGGUCGGGGCUCAACCCCGGGACUGCAUUGGAAACUGGUGAACUGGAGUGUAGGAGAGGUAAGCGGAAUUCCUGGUGUAGCGGUGAAAUGCGUAGAUAUUAGGAGGAACACCAGUGGCGAAGGCGGCUUACUGGACGAUAACUGACGUUGAGGCUCGAAAGCGUGGGGAGCAAACAGGAUUAGAUACCCCAGUAGUC
rnacentral:rRNA from 1 species